ensembl:antisense C030017D09Rik RIKEN cDNA C030017D09 gene
AAACCUGCUCCUCCAAAGUGUCUGGGAAGCGGCGAGGUACCAAGGUGGCUGGAUUUCCAGACUGUUGAGUGUGCAGGCGGCGUGUCUCCAAGGUCAUCCAUCACCUGUGAGUUUCUGCUAAGUGAGAAAAGCUAGCACACCAUUCUCUCACCUUCUCCAUCCUGGAGCUGAAGCAGAGAAAAAUAAAUACCACUCCAUCUCAAGGCAGAGAAAAUACCACACUCCAUCCCAAGGCCCUGUGACACAUGCAAUUAGAUGCCUUUCCCCAGACUCUUGGAUUUUCACUCGGAGUUGGCUGGAUGGAGCUGAGACUUCAAGGACAGAAUGUCUGGGGCUGGAGAAGUUGAAGCCCAUACUCCAUGAUGACUGUGUCUUCAAUAGGAACCAUCUGACUGUGUGCCAGCAACCUGAGGGCUUUCUUCAUGAGGCUAAUUCUCUAGUCUGCCAAUCUCUCUCUCUCUCUCUCUCUCUCUCUCUCUCUCUCUCUCUUUCUCUCCUCCCUCCUUCCCCUCCUUUCUGUAUAAAUAAUCCAGUGUUGGCUUCUUCAUCUGGAGAAACAAUAACUCUUUCACACUCUAUAUGUUAACAUGAGUAUGAUAUUAUGUGAGAAGAAAAGUUGAUUCUGGAUUUGGUGCGAUUCUAGAUCAUUCUUAUGGUUUGAGUGUGAGUAUGGUUUGGUAGUGUGGAACGUUUAGGAGGUGGGGCCUGGAGGAAGUGAAUCUCUGAGAACUCCCAGCUUAUCUCCCUCGGCUCCCUGACUGCUAAGGCCCUGUAACUAGUCACUGGUCACUACCUCAGUUAUGGCUGUGAGCAGCUCCUGUCUCCAUGAUGAACUGUAUCCUCUGAACCAGGAGUCAGAAUAAAUCCUUCCUUGUU